GACGAACGCUGGCGGCGUGCUUAACACAUGCAAGUCGAACGGAAAGGCUCCAGCUUGCUGGAGUACUCGAGUGGCGAACGGGUGAGUAACACGUGGGUAAUCUGCCCUGCACUCUGGGAUAAGCCUGGGAAACUGGGUCUAAUACUGGAUAUGACCUUUCUCCUUAUGGGGUUUGGUGGAAAGUUUUUCGGUGUAGGAUGAGCCCGCGGCCUAUCAGCUUGUUGGUGGGGUGAUGGCCUACCAAGGCGACGACGGGUAGCCGGCCUGAGAGGGUGAUCGGCCACAUUGGGACUGAGAUACGGCCCAGACGCCUACGGGAGGCAGCAGUGGGGAAUAUUGCACAAUGGGCGGAAGCCUGAUGCAGCGACGCCGCGUGAGGGAUGACGGCCUUCGGGUUGUAAACCUCUUUCAGCAGGGACGAAGCGUAAGUGACGGUACCUGCAGAAGAAGCACCGGCUAACUACGU
rnacentral:rRNA from 1 species